CCUACGUGGGGCUGCAGUGGGGAAUCUUCCGCAAUGGACGAAAGUCUGACGGAGCAACGCCGCGUGAGUGAUGACGGCCUUCGGGUUGUAAAGCUCUGUUAAUCGGGACGAAUGGUUCUUGUGCGAAUAGUGCGAGGAUUUGACGGUACCGGAAUAGAAAGCCACGGCUAACUACGUGCCAGCAGCCGCGGUAAUACGUAGGUGGCAAGCGUUGUCCGGAAUUAUUGGGCGUAAAGCGCGCGCAGGCGGAUCAGUCAGUCUGUCUUAAAAGUUCGGGGCUUAACCUCGUGAUGGGAUGGAAACUGCUGAUCUAGAGUAUCGGAGAGGAAAGUGGAAUUCCUAGUGUAGCGGUGAAAUGCGUAGAUAUUAGGAAGAACACCAGUGGCGAAGGCGACUUUCUGGACGAAAACUGACGCUGAGGCGCGAAAGCCAGGGGAGCGAACGGGAUUAGAUACCCGAGUAGUC
rnacentral:rRNA from 1 species